rnacentral:lncRNA from 1 species
AACACAUGCCUCACUCCAGCUCCAAGUCAGGUCACACCUCGGAGCCCUGCGUCCUGUAUCCCCGAUAGGCUCCUGAAGGCUGGGCCUUUCCAGGAUAGCCUUCUGGCCUGUCUCUGCCCCAACCCUGACCCUCCCUACCUCCAUAGAGGUGAGCAGGAAGACUGGCACUUACAUGACACCGGGCUUGGAGCACUGGCUGCUCGUCUCAAAGUAGUCAGCUAUGAAAUUCUGUGGAAUCUGCCGGGAGGUGUAGCUGAAGCAGCAGGCGGUCGGCGUGUCAGCAGCAACUGUGGAGAAAGGAAGAGAAUGAGCCCGAGUCACAGCUCAGAAGAAAAGGCCAGGCAGCUUCUGAUCCCCGAGCAGUUGAGGAAGGCAGGCUUGCUCAGACCAAGUGACUGGAAGGCAUUUGGGCAUUUUUGCUGAGAAAUGUCUCUUUGUUUCUGUCUGUAUCCUUCUUUCUCCUUGACUCUUCAUAGUGGGUUCUCUGUUUCUCUGUGUGAUCCAGAUACCUGAACGGACUGUUCUCUUAUCUCAGUUCUCUUCAGGGAAUUUUGUCUGGUUCAAGAAGUCAUACCCCAACCCAAGAGAAGCCUUGGACAUCUCUCAUAAGACAUCCAAGGGACAGAGCUCCUGGGAGACCUAGAGUGAGCUGGAGAGUGAACAACAUACCCCACUGGGAAGCCUCAGAGUCCCUAUAAAGAGAGAUUCCCAAGUCAGUAUCAGCACAGGACACAGCUGGGUUCUGAAGCUUCUGAGUUCUGCAGCCUCACCUCUGAGAAAACCUCUUUUCCACCAAUACCAUGAAGCUCUGCGUGACUGUCCUGUCUCUCCUCAUGCUAGUAGCUGCCUUCUGCUCUCCAGCGCUCUCAGCACCAAGUAAGUCUACUUUUGCAGCUGCUAUUUCGAGUCAAGGUGUAGGCAGAGUCCUUUUUUCUAGUCAUGGCUGGCAAACAGUGGGAUCUGGGGAUGGGACAAAAGGCAGCUAGGAAGAUUGCCAUGUAGUCUGCUGCUAAAUGUAGAGUCUAGUAGAUAUUCAAUAACAUUCAAGUUCCUAUUUUCUUAAGAAUUAGCAACCAGCAGAGGAAAACGAUGGGCUGGAAGUCAGACUGUUGAAUUGGCUCUGCCUUUAAUUAUUUGUUCAAGCAAGCCCCUGUCCCUCUCUGUGCCUUGGUUUCCCCAUCUGUCAUAUGAAGGGAGUGCGAUGUGUUCUGAGACUGAAUCCAGUUCCAAUCUUCUAGAUUUCUUUCUCGUUCUUCUCUGAAGAUCCACUAUUCAAAAUAAGACUCCUGCUCAUGUUAGGUGGGAAUGGAUAUUUGGGGUUCUGGUAGCUCCACAGGGAUGCUCAAUGAAGAUACAAAAUUAGAAGUCAAAAUAAACAGCUCCCACGGGCAGUGUUGAUCUCACCCUGGCCUUUCCUUU